rnacentral:lncRNA from 1 species
CCAAGGCCGAGAAGCGGCUGCCGGCCGGCAAGUCCGCCGGCAAGGACGGCGAGAAGAAGGGCAAGAAGAAGGCGAAGAAGAGCGUGGAGACCUACAAGAUCUACAUCUUCAAGGUGCUCAAGCAGGUCCACCCCGACAUCGGCAUCUCCUCCAAGGCCAUGUCCAUCAUGAACUCCUUCAUCAACGACAUCUUCGAGAAGCUGGCGGCGGAGGCGGCCAAGCUCGCGCGGUACAACAAGAAGCCCACCAUCACCUCCCGCGAGAUCCAGACCUCGGUCCGCCUCGUCCUCCCCGGCGAGCUCGCCAAGCACGCCGUGUCAGAGGGCACCAAGGCCGUCACCAAGUUCACCAGCUCUUAGGCGAUGCGGUUGUCUUCUCGUGGUUGGUUCACCCCUGUAGUAGGAUGGUUGUUGCAGCGGCGGUAGUUGCCCUGCUUUCCUGUAUCUCCAGUACUUGGUCGCCUGAUUAAUGUAAGAAGUGUGCGCGUGUGCUUUCGUG